rnacentral:rRNA from 1 species
CCAAUAGCGUAUAUUAAAGUUGUUGCAGUUAAAAAGCUCGUAGUUGAAUUUCGGGAUCAAUACGUCGGUCGUGCUUCGGUACGUACUGGCAUCAUUGAUUUCUCCCUUCUGACGAACCAUGAUGUCAUUAACUUGGUGUCUUGGGAAAUCAGGACUGUUACUUUGAAAAAAUUAGAGUGUUUAAAGCAGGCUCACGCUGGAAUACAUUAGCAUGGAAUAAUGAAAUAGGACGUUCGAUCCUAUUUUGUUGGUUUUUAGGAUCAACGUAAUGAUUAAUAGGGAUAGUUGGGGGCAUUAGUAUUCAAUUGUCAGAGGUGAAAUUCUUGGAUUUAUUGAAGACUAACUACUGCGAAAGCAUUUGCCAAGGAUGUUUUCAUUAAUCAAGAACGAAAGUUAGGGGAUCGAAGACGAUCAGAUACCGUCGUAGUCUUAACCAUAAACUAUGCCGACUAGGGAUCGGAUGAUGUUAAUUUUUUAAUGACUCAUUCGGCGCCUUACG